rnacentral:rRNA from 1 species
UACGUAGGGUGCGAGCGUUAAUCGGAAUUACUGGGCGUAAAGCGUGCGCAGGCGGUCUUGUAAGCCAGAUGUGAAAUCCCCGGGCUUAACCUGGGAACUGCAUUUGGGACUGCAAGGCUGGAGUACGGCAGAGGGAGGUGGAAUUCCACGUGUAGCAGUGAAAUGCGUAGAGAUGUGGAGGAACACCGAUGGCGAAGGCAGCCUCCUGGGCUAGUACUGACGCUCAUGCACGAAAGCGUGGGGAGCAAACAGGAUUAGAUACCCUGUAGUCC